CAAAAUAUCAAGUGCCCGAUGCUACUGGAUCGGAAAGCUGUACCCAACACCAGAAGGAAAUGCAUUUGGACGCCAGCACCGCUGGAUGCCGGGUUCCGAGAGGCAGCCUGACCCGAGGAGCGCUUCUCCAUAGAGCCAAGCCCCGAGAUUUCCUAGAGGAUAUGUCGCCUAUUUUUUCUCCAUCAUCAACAACACGGAUGAGAGAUGUCAUCACUAUCUGAAGGCAAAUGUGAAACAUCUUAGCAGAAGCUGUCAGAUAAUGAUGCAAACAACGAGACAAAAUGGAGAUGGACUAGACUCCUCAACUCUCCCCUCUGCACUCAAAUCCCUUCUCUUAUUUCAGGAUUUUCUCCCCGAGUGGUAUCAAUGACAUCAAUAUAUUUUUUCCAUGUAAUGUUUGUCUCCUCCCAAGUGGAUCUUCACUCUCAAAGCAGUUGGCAUCCUCCCCCAAGGAGAUACCAUCUCUUUUUCAAACCCUCAUUGGUAAGUCAACCCAUUUCAAGAGUAGCUUUCAUUGAUAAUGAUGUCUGCUCACUUCUGGAUGGAUAUCUUACCGUACGGCACCAUUCAUCUCAAUGGACAGCCAGAACUCAUGUAAAUCUCUAUUAAAGGAAAUAUAAACAAAGCAGCUGCUGGAUCUCCUGCUUGAGUCUGGGGGAGAGAGGGGAUAUGGGGAGACUGACAGGCCAUGAACAAGCAUAGAGUGUGAGGAGGACAUCACCUGGUGCUCUGGAAGAAUUCUGAGGUUUCCAUCUGAAAUGGUGGAGGGCUACAUCCUUAGUCCAUGCAAAUUAACCCAGACCCAGUGCUGUGAGAGGUAAGUGAUGGAAACUCCACACAAGUGACUGACACCACCUCCAGUGGUGUCCAGAUGAAUAAAUGAAGGACUUGUUAGAGGCCUGAAGAAGGAGGUCAGUAAAUAUUUAAAGAAGGCUUUCCUGAGAUGCUGUGGCUGCUGCAGUAUGGUGACCCUACUUGAACUUCUCCACAGGAUCCCCAGGAUUUGGUUCUGAUUCUCCCAGGAUGGAACGGUCUUCAGAGUCUGAUCCCAAUGUGGUCCCCCUCUGUCUCACUUGCAUUUUUCAAUUUUGU